rnacentral:rRNA from 1 species
GAGAGUUUGAUCCUGGCUCAGGACGAACGCUGGCGGCACGCUUAACACAUGCAAGUCGAACGAGAGAAGAGGAGCUUGCUUUUCUGAUCUAGUGGCGGACGGGUGAGUAACACGUGAGCAAUCUGCCUUUCAGAGGGGGAUACCGAUUGGAAACGAUCGUUAAUACCGCAUAAUAUAAUUGAACCGCAUGAUUUGAUUAUCAAAGAUUUAUCGCUGAAAGAUGAGCUCGCGUCUGAUUAGCUAGUUGGUAAGGUAACGGCUUACCAAGGCGACGAUCAGUAGCCGGACUGAGAGGUUGAUCGGCCACAUUGGGACUGAGACACGGCCCAGACUCCUACGGGAGGCAGCAGUGGGGAAUAUUGCACAAUGGAGGAAACUCUGAUGCAGCGAUGCCGCGUGAGGGAAGAAGGUUUUAGGAUUGUAAACCUCUGUCUUCAGGGACGAAAAAUGACGGUACCUGAGGAGGAAGCUCCGGCUAACUACGUGCCAGCAGCCGCGGUAAUACGUAGGGAGCGAGCGUUGUCCGGAAUUACUGGGUGUAAAGGGAGCGUAGGCGGGAUCGCAAGUCAGAUGUGAAACUAUGGGCUUAACCCAUAAACUGCACUUGAAACUGUGGUUCUUGAGUGAAGUAGAGGUAAGCGGAAUUCCUAGUGUAGCGGUGAAAUGCGUAGAUAUUAGGAGGAACAUCAGUGGCGAAGGCGGCUUACUGGGCUUUAACUGACGCUGAGGCUCGAAAGCGUGGGGAGCAAACAGGAUUAGAUACCCUGGUAGUCCACGCCGUAAACGAUGAUUACUAGGUGUGGGGGGACUGACCCCUUCCGUGCCGCAGCAAACGCAAUAAGUAAUCCACCUGGGGAGUACGACCGCAAGGUUGAAACUCAAAGGAAUUGACGGGGGCCCGCACAAGCAGUGGAGUAUGUGGAUUAAUUCGAAGCAACGCGAAGAACCUUACCAGGUCUUGACAUCGUAUGCAUAGCUCAGAGAUGAGUGAAAUCUCUUCGGAGACAUAUAGACAGGUGGUGCAUGGUUGUCGUCAGCUCGUGUCGUGAGAUGUUGGGUUAAGUCCCGCAACGAGCGCAACCCUUACUGUUAGUUGCUACGCAAGAGCACUCUAGCAGGACUGCCGUUGACAAAACGGAGGAAGGUGGGGAUGACGUCAAAUCAUCAUGCCCCUUAUGACCUGGGCCUCACACGUACUACAAUGGCUGUAAACAGAGGGAUGCAAAGCCGCGAGGUGGAGCGAACCCCUAAAAGCAGUCUUAGUUCGGAUUGUAGGCUGCAACCCGCCUACAUGAAGUCGGAAUUACUAGUAAUCGCAGAUCAGCAUGCUGCGGUGAAUACGUUCCCGGGCCUUGUACACACCGCCCGUCACGCCAUGGGAGUCGGUAACACCCGAAGCCUGUAGUCUAACCGCAAGGAGGACGCAGUCGAAGGUGGGAUUGAUGACUGGGGUGAAGUCGUAACAAGGUAGCCG